rnacentral:rRNA from 1 species
GGUUGAUCCUGCCAGUAGUCAUAUGCUUGUCCCAAAGAUUAAGCCAUGCAUGUCCAAGUAUAAAUUGUUGUACGGUGAAACUGCGAAUGGCUCAUUAAAUCAGUUAUAAUUUAUUUGAAGGUUUCUUUACUAGUCGGAUAACCGUGGUAAUUCUAGAGCUAAUACGUGCUAAAGGCCCAACUCGCGACGGGCCGUAUUUAUUAGAUCAAAAACUGAUAGGCUUGUGCCUUUUUGGUGAUUCAUGAUAACUGAGCGGAUCGCAUGGCCUUGUGCUGGCGACGCUUCAUUCAAAU